rnacentral:rRNA from 1 species
GAUGAACGCUGGCGGCGUGCCUAAUACAUGCAAGUCGAGCGAACAGACGAGGAGCUUGCUCCUCUGACGUUAGCGGCGGACGGGUGAGUAACACGUGGAUAGCCUACCUAUAAGACUGGGAUAACUUCGGGAAACCGGAGCUAAUACCGGAUAAUAUAUUGAACCGCAUGGUUCAAUAGUGAAAGACGGUUUUGCUGCCACUUAUAGAUGGAUCCGCGCCGCAUUAGCUAGUUGGUAAGGUAACGGCUUACCAAGGCGACGAUGCGUAGCCGACCUGAGAGGGUGAUCGGCCACACUGGAACUGAGACACGGUCCAGACUCCUACGGGAGGCAGCAGUAGGGAAUCUUCCGCAAUGGGCGAAAGCCUGACGGAGCAACGCCGCGUGAGUGAUGAAGGUCUUCGGAUCGUAAAACUCUGUUAUUAGGGAAGAACAAAUGUGUAAGUAACUAUGCACGUCUUGACGGUACCUAAUCAGAAAGCCACGGCUAACUACGUG